AAUGAAAACACAGCAUUUUCCAUUAUGGCGACCCGCAGCCCCAGUGUUGUGAUUAGUGAUGAUGAACCAGGUUAUGACUUAGAUUUGUUUUGUACACCUCAUCAUUAUGCUGAGGAUUUGGAAGAGGUUUUUGUUCCUCAUGGACUAAUUAUGGACAGGACCAAACAGCUUGCUCGAGAUGUGAUGGAAGAGGUGGGGGCCAUCAUAUUGUGGUCCUCUGUGUGCUCAAGGGGGGCUAUACAUUCUUUGCUGACCUGCUGGAUUACAUCAAAGCCCUGAGCAGAAAUAGCGAUAGAUCCAUUCCUAUGACUGUAGGUUUUAUCAGACUGAAGAGCUACUGUCAACAGGCGACUUAAAAGUAAUUGGUGGAGAGGACCUCUCAACUUUAACUGGAAAGGCUGUCUUGAUUGUUGAAGAUGUAAUUGACACUGGCCAAACAAUGCAAACCUUGCUUUCCUUGGUCAAGCAGCAUAAUCCAAAGAUGGUCAAGGUGGCGACCUUGCUGGUGAGAAGGACCCCUCGAAGUGCUGGAUAUAGACCAGACUUUGUUGGAUUUGAAAUUCCAGAUGAGUUGGUUGUAGGAUAUGCCUUUGACUCUAAUGAAUACUUCAGGGACUUUGUGUCAUUAGUGAAAAUGGAAAAGCAAAAUACAAAGUCUAAGAGGAGAGUUCAAGUUGAGUUUGGAGACAUCUGG